UACGGAGGGGGCUAGCGUUGUUCGGAAUUACUGGGCGUAAAGCGCGCGUAGGCGGCUUUGCAAGUUAGAGGUGAAAGCCCCGGAGCUUAACUCCGGAACUGCCUUUAAAACUGCAUCGCUAGAAUCGUGGAGAGGUGAGUGGAAUUCCGAGUGUAGAGGUGAAAUUCGUAGAUAUUCGCAAGAACACCAGUGGCGAAGGCGGCUUACUGGUCCGGUUCUGACGCUGAGGCGCGAAAGCGUGGGGAGCAAACAGG
rnacentral:rRNA from 1 species